UCCAAAACCCCUCCCUUGGGUGGCAAUCUGCAAUAAAUGCUUUGCUGCAAGUAUUUUGGCCACUUCCCCUCCAGGUAGCCAGCAGCUGGGAUGCAGUAGGAGGGGAGGGUUUAACAGCCUCUUGCCUUCUGCAGGUGGCUUACGGGCUACCUGGUCAGUGGGCCCACUGCACGCCAAAUUCCUGGGUGAACUCUUCUUCUCCACCUCCCGCCUCUUUACAUAGAGCAGAAGGGACAGAACAGAGAAAAGGGGCUCGAAAAGCCACCGUUCGAGUGAGCAACACUCUGGGAGCAAAUUUAUCAGUAGCCAGCCUCCAAGUCUCCUGAGUAGGCUGUUUCUGGAGCUGCUGGAGGCAUGUGGUUCAAGCAGCAUUUGAGAAGCAGAGCAAGAGGGAGAAGCAGCUCUGAAGUGACCUGAUGUUCAAAGACAGGCUCAGAAUAUCUCACAUCCUGAUGUGGAAACUCUGAAAUAAGGAACCUGUGAAUGCUGGAGACAGCCAAGAUCUGUGAGAGAUGAUGAGCCCAACAGAUGCCAAAUUGACCUGCACCUAAGAGGAAAAUCUGCUCUUCAUAUAGUCCGUGUGAUUGAUCCUACCUAUUGCCUUUAGUGGGAGUUUUGCCACUAUCUUCAAGGAAUAUAGGAAUGGCCUCAUGGCCACCCAGCUUGUUCUUCCCUUUAAAUUCCUUUUCUUUGUUUUCUUCUGCCAUAGAAAGGAGACUAAAAGAAUGCAAGUGCCACUAAUUGCACUGCUACCCCUCUGUUAUUACUUUUAUCUGUGGACUCAGUAAUUAGCAAUUAGGCUUUUAAUUUUGUUUCCUAGGAGCACAAGAGCUGUAAUUAGGCAGCUCAGAAAUGUAAGAGCUUUGGAGGUGUGUUCUGUGUCUGUUUUAUUUAAACCUUUGCUGGGAAGGGUGGCAUAUAAAUUGCAUGGAUAUAUAUAU